rnacentral:rRNA from 1 species
UACGUAGGUGACAAGCGUUGUCCGGAUUUACUGGGCGUAAAGAGCGCGCAGGCGGUCCUUUAAGUCUGAUGUGAAAGCCCACGGCUCAACCGUGGAGGGUCAUUGGAAACUGGGGGACUUGAGUGCAGGAGAGAAGAGUGGAAUUCCAGGUGGAGCGGUGAAAUGCGUAGAGAUCUGGAAGAACACCAAAGGCGAAGGCAGCGUCCUGGCUCGUAUCUGACGCUCAUGUGCGAAAGCUAGGGGAGCGAACGGG